AUUUUCUAUGAGAACUACAGCAUGACAAAGGUCAGGAAGCGCUGCCUAAGUCAUCUGGUGAAAGAGGAUGCAAAUGCCACCAAGGAGCUCCAAUUCUGGGCCCCAAAGAGUCAUUAACUGCUGUUCCCUGGAUCCCAGAGUUUUGACUGCACAGAACAGCAAAGAAGAAACCAGAAGUCGGGCUCCAUCCAGUUCCUCACCUGGGUGGAUGAGGCCAGCACCUGAUUGUUUUAGGCUGAGUAGGCUCCUGAAGCUGAGAGCUGAUAAGAGACAUUGAUCUAGGGUUUGCAACUCUCUCUGGUUUCCCGAAGCUGUUUCUCACAGGGCAGGGAGAAGAGGAAUCUGCCAGCCUUUGGAUCAGCGUCUGUCCCAUGGGCAAAGCCUUUAUCCAGCAAGAAGCCAGCUGUGUGGCAAGCAAUGGAGCCACAAUGGGGACAAAGGAUGGAGUUAAGAGCAUUCGUUUUAAAGUCACACAGGACGAAUUCAACUGUCAGACCAGCCAGGUAGCCUCCAGUAAGCUACUUGGACUCUUAAGACUUGAAAGGGCAGCCCUAAAGCCUUCCUCUCACAGGAUUGUUGUAAAGAAUGAAGAAAAUUAUGGCCUGAAACAGUGGCUCAUGCCUAUAAUCCCAGCACUUUGGGAAGCUGAGUCAGGAGUAUCACUUGAGGCGAGGAGUUGGAGACCAGCCUGGGCAACAUAUCAAGACCCCAUCUCUACUGAAAAAAAAAAAAAAGUUUUUAAUUAGCUGGGCAUAGUGACACCCACCUGUAGUCCCAGCUACUGAGGAGGCUAAGGCAGGAGGAUUGUUUGAGCCAAGGAGAUUAAGGCUGUAGUGAGCCAUGAUCAUGCCAUUGCACUCCAGCGUGGACAACAGAACAAGACACUAUUUAAAAAAAAAAAAAAAGAAAGAAAGAAAGAAAACUGAAGAAAAUGAAAUGUGUCCACAAGGCCUGGCCAAGGCAGGCAUCAGAUAUCAGUUGCCCCCAUCUUCCAUGGCUAGAGCCCGGAAGCUCCUGCAGCUCCCGGGACUGGGCUCAGCUCCGACUCCACCAGGAGCACCAGCUUCAAGGUCUUCAUGAAGCAUGUGGGAAUCUGUGGGGCUGCCAACAGCAUUCCCUUCCUAAAACUUCUAGGCAAAACCAGCCUAGCCUCUGAGCUGGCUGUCAUUAUCCAAGAAAUGACAAUGACCUCUAGAACGCUAGGCAGGACUGGCCAGGAGGAUUCCACUGUGACUUGUCCAUCGCCUAUGAAGCCCUGUGGCACACCCCAAAAUGGAAAGCAACUGAGGACCCUCAAGAGAACUGCCAUUCAGGAGCAGUCCCACCAGGGUGGGUUCCGUACACAGGUGCUUGGUGUGAUUGGAGGAACCGAGAUACUCUCUGCACCCCAAGUCUCCCACUCCUUGACUCUGAUAUGCCACAACCAGAUGUCAUCUCACCAGCAUUCAUGAGCACCUACCACUUUCCAGGCACCACGCUGAGUAUUGGGCUUGAUUCCUCUGGGUUAUAUAUUACCACCCCUAAGCGUUUUCUUUUAAAAUGCAAACACCCUCUGAGAAGGGCAAUGCAUUAGUUAGAUUGCUCACACCGCAGACUGAAUUAAUUCAGGGUAUGGGGAGUUCUUUAUUAUAAGAUAUCAGAGAAGGACUAGAUAUCUUUAGCAAACGGGGCAGCUAAAGUUCAGAGGGCAGAGGUGACUACAGAAAAAAGGACCAAGACAGCUGUAACUUUGCAUUUUUCUACAGUGGAUUUCAGUGGCCACAUCUCCUUCCUCCUUUGUCCUUAAUCAAGACAAACAUGCCCAUGCCCAUAACAAGCAGCAGCAGUCCCCAUAAGUGCAGCUGAUGAGUUGGACUCCAUAGGAGAGAGCGGCCAGGGGCUGGCAGCCCUGGCUCUGCUGCAGAGGAGCCGGCCUGCCUUUCACCAUCUCCAGGAUGAGGACGCCCUGAAUCAGUGCCUACUCGCUCCCCAGCAAGUUCAGGGCUUAGAGUUCAGGUAAUUAGGCCCUUGGCAAUCUCACCUGAGCCCGCCAAUAAAACAGACAAACACCUUCAGCUCCUGUUCAGGAGGGAGAGAGGAAACCAGGAGGGAGGAAACCAGGAGGGAGGAAGGGAAGGAGGAAAACUUUUUUCUAUUCUAAGGCUUGGCAACCGGAAGGGAGAAUUCAUUUACAAAGCAGCCACUCCAACACCCCACUCCUGCUCCACACCCAGGGUUGUCCCCUCCUGCCACAGAACCCUGGACUCCAUCUGCCACCAUCAUCGAGGAUGACAGGGGACAUCUUUGCAGGCUGCAACCUGAACAGGCACUGGGCACUGAGGGCCUAACCUUGUAGGGCAGGCAUUCGCCAGCAUGGUUCCUUCCAGCAGAGGAAAGAAGGCUCCCUCCCAUUCCAGGAGCCACACCACCCCCAAAAGAUGUCUGAAAGGCUGCUCCAGAGUGUUAGAGAGCAACUGAGUGACUUCUUUGAACCCUGCCUUGUGUCACCACCAGCUGUUGAGGGCUCAGCUCAGUUCAUGUCUGGGCUCCUUCAGACCGGGGACCAUUCCUUAACCAUCCCUGGAUUGGGACAGUGCCCAGGAGAUACUAGGCACACAGAUUUCGUUUCCCCCCCUAAAUAAUCAACAUUAUUAAUACUUCUUGCAUAUGA